rnacentral:rRNA from 1 species
UGGCGGCAGGCUUACACAUGCAAGUCGAACGCCCCGCAAGGGGAGUGGCAGACGGGUGAGUAACACGUGGGAACGUACCCUUCGGUUCGGAAUAACACAGAGAAAUUUGUGCUAAUACCGGAUACGUCCGAGAGGAGAAAGAUUUAUCGCCGAUGGAUCGGCCCGCGUCUGAUUAGCUAGUUGGUGAGGUAACGGCUCACCAAGGCGACGAUCAGUAGCUGGUCUGAGAGGAUGAUCAGCCACACUGGGACUGAGACACGGCCCAGACUCCUACGGGAGGCAGCAGUGGGGAAUAUUGGACAAUGGGCGAAAGCCUGAUCCAGCCAUGCCGCGUGAGUGAUGAAGGCCCUAGGGUUGUAAAGCUCUUUUACCUGGGAAGAUAAUGACUGUACCAGGAGAAUAAGCCCCGGCUAACUUCGUGCCAGCAGCCGCGGUAAUACGAAGGGGGCUAGCGUUGUUCGGAAUCACUGGGCGUAAAGCGCACGUAGGCGGAUCUUUAAGUCAGGGGUGAAAUCCCGAGGCUCAACCUCGGAACUGCCUUUGAUACUGGAGAUCUUGAGUCCGGAAGAGGUGAGUGGAACUGCGAGUGUAGAGGUGAAAUUCGUAGAUAUUCG